UUUUUUUUUUUUUUUUUUUUGAGCCUCACAGUUUUAAAUAUUUGUAGUAAAGAAGGUUUUGCACAUUUGGAUCUCACUCACUGCCUAGCUUAUGGCUUUAGAACCAGAAAAAUAUGGGUUCAAAUCAUUAUUUCACCAUUUAGUACAUAAGUGACAUCAGAUGAGUUACUUAUCUGUUUUGGAAUAAAAUAUAUACUUGUGUUUAUCUCAGUGCCUGGAGCAUAGUAAAUGACAAAUUAUGACUACGAAAAUUUUUUCAGGGAAUUCUGCUCUGCUGUGGGUGUAGGGUAUAAAGAACUCUUAAGAACUAUCGAUGCCUUUUUGUAACCACUUUCAUUCAUAUGCCUUUAUACAAAUCUUAUUCUAGGACUAAUUAUUUUGAUUAUUUAUAGAAGCCUCUCUCUUGCAUAAAAGUCUAAGUUGGUGUCCAGAGAGGGAAAUGGUUCUGCUCUAAGAGACCAUGUAGGGGUGUAGAUGCCUUUGAUCCUAUUGUGCCUGGAGUAUCACCAUCAUCCAAACAAUGGAAGGAAUUUCCAUCUUCCAGUCUGUGUUCUAGCCUGCAGGGAUUGGGGAAGAGGGAAAAUAGCAACUCAGCUCUUUUUCUUAAUGUGUACUACCUGGAAAUUUCUCAUUUCACUUCUGCUUACAUCACAGCAGCCAGACUACGUAAGCAUGCUUAGCCAUAAAAGCAGCUAGAAAAUGAUGUCUAUAGCCACAAUAUGUCCAGGCAAAACUCAGCAAGUCAAAUUGUUAAAAUAAUUUGGAAGACAACUAUGAAUUUAUUUCAGAAGGUGCAUGUAUCAGUUAUCCAUUGCUGCAUAAAAACCAUGCCACCACCUUGUAGUCUAAAAUAAUAGCUAUUUAUUUACCUAGUGAUUCUAAGGAUUGAAAAUUAAGACUGGGCUCUGCUGGGUGGUUGUAAUGGUCUUGGUGGGGCUCACUCAUUUGGCAUAGAUUAGCUGCGAGAUUCAGUGGAGGACUUUCCUCUUGUCGUCCAGCAAGCUACAUGUGGCCUGUUUGCCUGGAGACUGUGCAAGGCGUUUUGAAAUGCAGGCACACAACUUGCACAGUGUCACUUCAGCUACACUCUUUUGGCUGAAGAAAGUCACAAGGCCACCAAUGAUUUAAAAGGUAUGGAGGAUAAUGUGAGAAAAAGAAUAUAUGUAUAUGUGUAUGGCUGGUCAUUUUGCUGUAGAGUAGAAAUUAACAGAACACUGUAAAUCAACUAUAAUGGAAAAAAUAAAAAUCAUAUAUAAAAAUAAAACAAUAUCGCAGUUAACAAUAUCACAGUUAAAAAAAAUAAAAGGUAGGGAAAAAAAUAAAAGGUAGGGAAACAUAAAAGGUAGGGAAGGAAGGGGAGAAUUUGAUGCCAUUUUUGUAAUCUAUCACAGAGGGAAAUCAGAGUUACUAUUCAGAAAUUUACUAUAGUAUAAACAUGAGAGAGCAUCCUUAUGAAAUACAUGAUGUCAAUUUGAGGCAUACCAGGCUGUUGAAGGGAGACAGAUACAAAAGUUAGGUCCCUGAGUCCUACAUGGUUAGGAACACAUGCACAAACUUGUAUGGUGUUGAAAUCACAUUCUACAGUGUAAACACCCAAGCCUGUGUUAGGGGGUAGCUGAUCUCUAUUUUGGUAGCUGUAACUCUCUAGUGAUCUAGGGGAGAGGAGAGAAAACACAUCAUCUGAGGAUAAAAUAAGUCAAGUAGACAUUAUAAUGCAGUGGAGAAAGAACUGGUCUAGGUACCAGAAGAACUGAGUUCUAGCUCAAGCUAGGACUCACAACGCCAGAGGUUUUCAUGAAUUUGUUCAUGAAUUUGAGUUCAUGUUUCUUUGUGUAAUUUUUAAAGGUUGGGCUAAAUUAAAUCUAAUAUUUCUUCCUGUUUUGACUGAUGUCUAUGAGUCACUAAGAAGGAUGAAAAGAGACUUGUUCUUUCAAGUGACUACAAGACGAUGAAUACAGGAAUAAAAGGGGAAAGUCAAAUGAUUCGGAUACUUAGUACCAAAUGUCAAGAUGUUUGGAAACAUCUAGAUACUUAUCUAAAUUCUGUAUGUAGCCAAUGUUGAAAAAUAUAUCUUUUCUCAAGCCAACUACAGACAUUUUCUUCUUCAGAAGAGACAAAUGUUAUUUUUUUUAAAUGUUGAUUUAAGAAUGGAAAAUAAUCCCAUAAGUUAUAAUUAAAAUGUGAACACAUCUAGAAAAGCAUGAUAUAAAAUUGUAAGUGACAGGUUUCACAAUAAAAACAAAUACUGAGUUCUCUGUGUGAUCUUCUUAUGUGUUCCUAUUUGCAAGGUAUAUAAACUUAGAUAAAACUGAUAUUUUUUUCCUCAUGCCAUGUGGCCCUAGGAAUCAAACACAUCUUCCAAACAGAUACUAGGAUGGAAAGUAAUUUUUUAAUUCAUCAGGAAGUGUUACAUAAUCCACAGAGAUGACAGCAACUCAACAGUAAUGCUGGGACUAAAACCAAACAUGGUUUCUAAACACAUAUUCAUAUCCACAUAACUAACUAUGAUUUGGACAAUGCUUCGAAACUAAAAACAAAAAACAACAAAAAAAAAACUUUAUAAAGUCUAAAAUCUGUAGAUUGACCAGCCCUGUGGUUAUCAAAGUGUGGUCACAGGACAAGGACCUGCGGCAUAAGCAUUGCCAAAGAAAUUGUCUGAAAUGGUAAUCCUCCAGGUGCACCUCAAACACACUGAAGCAGAGACUCUGAGAGGGUUCGGAUAGGUCAACAAGCCCCAUAGGUGACACUGAUUCACACCCAGAUUUCAGAACCACUGUUCCAGCCAACAUUACUUAUAAAAUAAAUAACCUAGGCACAGAACAAUGGCAGAGAGUUCCCAUUGCGGCUCAGAGGUUACGAACCUGAUUAGCAUCCAUGAGGAUGUGGGUUCAAUCCUUAGCCUUACUCAGUGGGUUAAGGAUCAGCAUUGCCAUGAGCUGUGGUGUAAGUCACAGACAUGGCUCAGAUCUCUCAUUGCUGUGGCUGGGGUAUAGGCUGGCCGCUGCAGCUCUGAUUCGACCCCUAGCCUGGGAACUUCCAUGUGCCACACAUGCGGCCCUAAAAAGCAAAAAUAAUAAUAAUCUAGGCAGGAAAUUUGGAGACAUCUGGAUAGAACAAAUCCAUUAUCCUUUUAUCUAAUUAUUACCCUUUUCUACUUCAAAUAGAUCAGCAAAACUGACCUCCAUUUUCUACACGAAUGAUAUCUCUGCUAACAAUUAAGUUUCUCUGGAAGAAUUCAGGUGGCUUUACUCCAUAAGGAGAAUGUGGGCAUAUGCUUUGUAUGUAAAAGGAACCCAAGAAAUAUGUGUUGAUUUCAUUUAUGAUAAUUUCACAUAAGAUAUAAGAUAUAAAAGGAAUUCCUUAAACAAUGCAUUAAGAAAACUUAAAUAGUUGCACAAUAAAGGGACCACAAAAAGAGCUACACUGUUUUCAAACUAGGGAGAAUCACAUGGUUUAACAACUUUUUUUAAAAGAAAGAAGUCACAGCCCACAGGUUCUGAGAGGUGAUUUUUCCGAAGUCAGACCAAUUUUUAGUGAUAAAAUCAGGACAGGAAUUUAGGUUUCUAAUUCAAAGUCUGGUAUGCUCUUCUUUAAAUUUCUCCCCUCCAGAUGAAUUAGAGAUCUAGGGAAGUAUUUUAUUGUUUAAUACCAUCUAUGACAAAAUAAUAACAUGAAAGUCAAGUAGAGAAAUAAACCUUUAUGUGCACAGAACAAUGGCAAAGGAAGUAAUUAGUCCAUGCAAUGUGGAAGAAACAAAAAUUUAGAUUCUCCACAAAAGACCUCACUUCAUUCCUUUUUUAAUGAUAUAUCAACUUUUUCAUUUUAAAUCUCAAAUAAGACAUGACACACUGGAACGCAGAGGCUUUAACUGGAAGCUUUUUUUUAUUUCUUAAAAAUCCUUUAAGCAUAAAGAAAUCAAAUUCCUUACCUAGGAAAACUCUUUUUAUAACAUCAAAAAGAGAUAAAUCCACAAAAGAGAGAAAAAAACUGUCGAAGGAGAUUGUCAUAGCAACCAGAUAAGAACAAAUUUGGCACAGAAAGCAACCUGAUUAUUUCUUUUUAAUCAAAAUUACAUAUCAUCAAGUUUGGAAGCAAAACAACUGGGAAAAUAGUAAAAGAAUUUCAAAGUAUAUAGCAUGCACAUUAACGUUUAUUAACUCUCUCAGCACCCAAAGUAAGUACAAGUGUAUUAGUCAAUCUGGGAAUAAUUUGUUUUUCAUGGGAUUUCUUGCCUCAUUUCUUCCCUCUACUCCAUAUAUUUAAGAAUCACCAAACGUUAAUUAUUCUUUUCCAGAAAUAUUUUUCAAAAUCAUAUGUUUAUGUUCCUUUGAAAACUCCAGGUUUCCUAUUGCCUCAAUAUUUUCAAUCUGAUUUUUUAUAAUAUCCAUUGUCCCUGGUUAGUGCCUUAUGGACUAUAAACACUGACACAGCUUUCACAAAUGUUCAUAUUUACUUGGUUUCUUGACAGUAGCAUGAUGUUUAUAAAUACAAAUUUGGCCUCCUACUCUUAGUGAGCUCUUUGUUAGGAGACAUGGAACAGAAAUUUGGAUGCUGUACACCAAGGUCAGGGCACCAUCUUUCCCUUUCCUCAGUUCCACAUAUCUGGAGGAGUGAGCUGAUGAAACAUAACUGCAGAGUAGGAGGACCCCAACCAAAGAGGCUCAGCAAAUUUCCAAGUGGCCAGGACAUGUUAACCAUAUUUCUUGGGAUGGUAGCUCACGGCUGCCCUCUUCAAUUCUGGUAAAUUGUGAAAGAUGUAGGUUAUCCUAAAGGCCCUGGAUAGAUGCUCAUGUAUUCUCUGAAAUAGAAUGCUCCUGCUGGAAAAAAAAAAAAAAAAAAAAAACAAACACCACACUGAUUUUUCUAACUAAAAACUAAAUGGAGCACCAAUGCACAGAAAUACUUGUGACAUUGCAAAAUGAAUUGCCAUGAAGACAAACCUUUGACCUCUGUCUUUACCCCCAUAUCCAUAGUCGGUUGUUCAAGCAAAGUGAGUCCAGUCUACCUCAUGCCUAAUUGAAAGCUGCUGCAACCAACGGGACGUGGUUACCUGAAGGCACGAGCAGGGAAUGCCAGAACCAGAACAAAAGAGAGCAUUCAUUAUCCUGUUCCUUAGUGCACAUCUACCUGUGCUUUGAAUGAGCAUGGAAAGGUUAUCCUCUGCAUAACAAACUUGUGACUGCACAGAGCCCAUCUAUCCCAUGGCUAAAUUAGUGAGUCCUACCUUCUGAAGUCCUAACUGCAAAUCUGCCUACUGUCCUUACUGGAAAGAAUAAAUAAAAAACUAAAUCAAAAUGAAUGUUGAUUGCAUAAAAAAAUAAAAAUAUCUUGUAGAUAUGCUAAAAUAGAGGAUCUUAGGUGAAAUUUUAUAGACAUGAGUCUGAGAU
rnacentral:lncRNA from 1 species